AUGAGCUGAACUUUUUAUUAUCUACGUGUGUGCCUGGAAAAGCCGCAGGGUCCGUCCUAUUUCAGCCCAAGGCAGGAGCGACCAUUUGACAACACAGACCAAGGAGCAGUGAACGGAAAGCGCCUCUGCCCGCCCUGUCGGUCCGGCUCGGGUAAAGCAGCCACGCCAACGCCCAGAGCAGCGAGGAAGAGGAGCCUGCCACAAACGUGGUCCCAGGGCUGCGCCUGCUGCUGGGAGGGGGCAGAAGGAGACUUGCAGGCAAGGGUCCAGGAGAGGCAGCGUGGACAGGUAUGGAAAUGGAGGCCCUGCCACAGAGGACAGAGAGGAAACGAGAGAGCCAGCAACUGCAUGCCCGUCAGCUGAGACAUGGCUGUGUGUAGCUGAAAACGUGUACUGACACCUGAGCCAUACGCAUGUCCCCAUUUCUUGCCACCCCAUUUGCACGAGGUGUUCCGGAUACCCCAUGGACUCAGAAUUCCAGCGGACCUGCAAUGCAUGGGAGUCCCGGAGACUCGACGCAGGGACAAGGCAAAAGCAUGCUGCAGCCACGACUCGGCAAGUGGGGGCACUGGCAGCCCCGGAACUCGAAACAUGACUUUCCUCUUGCAGUGGGACUGGCUUGGAACACAGAAAGAAGGUGGUGACUUUCUAAGAAACACGAACAACCGGGAAACCCUGCCAUGUCCUUCCUUGCUUGUGUUGUUGCUUCAACUACGCAUGCUGAAAAGGAUGCACAGAAGGAAAGGAAAAGCAGGACAAACACGGUUAGUUUUCCUUUCGGUGCUCCCCACCCACCAGGAGGCCAAGGCAGAGGGUGUGGGCAGACUGUGGGCACCAGGGAGGGACUCAGAACUGCCGAGCGCAGCCUCCCGCGUUCCGGCUCGAGCGGAGCACGUCGCUGGAGGUGGGAGUGUCAUUUCAGUGGCUCCUCACGCAUGUCGGAUGCCUUUAUAUUUGCAUUUAAAACUGCCACCGGCGCAUUAUAAAGAUGAACAGAAGA